rnacentral:rRNA from 1 species
CCCUUAGAUGUUCUGGGCCGCACGCGCGCUACACUGACGGAGGCAGCGAGCAUGUCCUUCGCCGAGAGGUGUGGGGAAUCUUGUGAGUCUCCGUCGUGCUGGGGAUAGAUGGUUGCAAUUGUCGAUCUUGAACGAGGAAUUCCUAGUAAGCGCGAGUCAUCAGCUCGCGCUGAUUACGUCCCUGCCCUUUGUACACACCGCCCGUCGCUACUACCGAUUGAAUCGUUUAGCGAGAAUUUUGGAUCGGAGCCCUGGUGGGCAGCGAUGUCCGCCUGGGAUUUACCGAGAAAUCAUUCCAGCUUGCCGAUUUAGAGGAAGGUGAAGUCGUAACA